CUUGCCAAUUGAGUUUGAGGGGUUACGUUUAAGUAUAUGGAAUGAGAUGAACAAGUGUUUUAGGUCUCAACCUCCCCUGAGGUGUCGUGCCCAUCGAGCGUGGAUAAGGUCGGCUGAUAAGGUUGGAAAGAUAUGAUUUUUAUGACGAGGGGGGAGGUGAGAGGAAGUGGUGAUUAGGAAUCACUGUAUGUUUAUUGGCAAGGACGGUUGGGUUACUGUAUAACACUAUGUGUGGAGUUAUAUAUGUAUAUAUGUUAAUUUAUGCUUAUUUAUGUCUAACGUUUUUGGUUACAGAAAGAAGAGAUUUAAUAAACAAAGUUAUGGAUGUGUUAUGCAGUAAUUUAGUUUGUGAUAAAUGCUGUGGCCUGUUUCAUCCAUACUAAGUGGUCUGUCGUUAUUGGGGGGGUUGAAUGGGGUUAGUUUAUGUACUAGGCUGCAUCACGAUUCCCCACUACGUACAUACAUGAAUAAAUAGCUAAAUAUCAGUAUAACUAUCACAUUUACGAUUGUGCUCCUUACUCAAUUUGUAUCAAGUAUACACACUGACAGAAACACACAUACUGACACAAACACAGUGAUAAACACUGAC